rnacentral:rRNA from 1 species
GACGAACGCUGGCGGCGUGCCUAAUACAUGCAAGUAGAACGCACAGUUUAUACCGUAGCUUGCUACACCAUAGACUGUGAGUUGCGAACGGGUGAGUAACGCGUAGGUAACCUGCCUGGUAGCGGGGGAUAACUAUUGGAAACGAUAGCUAAUACCGCAUAAUAUUAAUUAUUGCAUGAUAAUUAAUUGAAAGGUGCAAUUGCACCACUACCAGAUGGACCUGCGUUGUAUUAGCUAGUAGGUGAGGUAACGGCUCACCUAGGCGACGAUACAUAGCCGACCUGAGAGGGUGAUCGGCCACACUGGGACUGGGACCCGGCCCAGACUCCUACGGGAGGCAGCAGUAGGGAAUCUUCGGCAAUGGACGAAAGGCUGAACGAGCAACGCCGCGUGAGUGAAGAAGGUUUUCGGAUCGUAAAGUUCUGUUGUAAGAGGAGAACGGGUGUGAGAGUUGAAAGUUCACGCUGUGGCGGUAUCUUACCAGAAAGGGACGGCUAACUACGUG